AUGAAUUACAUUCAUAGCUUGUUUUCCAAGCCUUUAACCCCUUCUCCAAGCACAUCCUCUUUGCGUGGAAGUAUCCUAUUUGUAAUAGAGGAUGACGGUCAUUUUCAAGACAUGUCUGAAGAUGGGGAGGGAAAAGAAGGGGAAUGGUUAGAUUCUAUGGGUGUGGAGGAGCUAAGUGUCACCGAUUCUGAUGGACAGUAA